rnacentral:misc_RNA from 1 species
GAUGAAGAACGCAGCGAAAUGCGAUAAGUAAUGUGAAUUGCAGAAUUCAGUGAAUCAUCGAAUCUUUGAACGCACAUUGCGCCCCUUGGUAUUCCGAGGGGCAUGCCUGUUCGAGCGUCAUUAUAACCCCUCAAGCUCAGCUUGGUGUUGGGGCCUGCUGCACUGGCAGCCCUUAAAAUCAGUGGCGGCGCCAUCUGGCUCUAAGCGUAGUAAUUCUUCUCGCUAUGGAGUCCUGGUGGAUGCUUGCCAUCAACCCCCAAUUUUUCUAUGGUUGACCUCGGAUCAGGUAGGGAUACCCGCUGAACUUAAGCAUAUCAUAGCGGAGGA